rnacentral:rRNA from 1 species
AGUGAACGCUGGCGGUAGGCCUAACACAUGCAAGUCGAACGGCAGCACAGUAAGAGCUUGCUCUUACGGGUGGCGAGUGGCGGACGGGUGAAGAAUACAUCGGAAUCUACUUUUUCGUGGGGGAUAACGUAGGGAAACUUACGCUAAUACCGCAUACGACCUACGGGUGAAAGCAGGGGAUCUUCGGACCUUGCGCGAUUGAAUGAGCCGAUGUCGGAUUAGCUAGUUGGCGGGGUAAAGGCCCACCAAGGCGACGAUCCGUAGCUGGUCUGAGAGGAUGAUCAGCCACACUGGAACUGAGACACGGUCCAGACUCCUACGGGAGGCAGCAGUGGGGAAUAUUGGACAAUGGGCGCAAGCCUGAUCCAGCCAUACCGCGUGGGUGAAGAAGGCCUUCGGGUUGUAAAGCCCUUUUGUUGGGAAAGAAAAGCAGCAGGUUAAUACCCCGCUGUUCUGACGGUACCCAAAGAAUAAGCACCGGCUAACCUCGUG